rnacentral:rRNA from 1 species
AGCAGCCGCGGUAAUUCCAGCUCCAAUAGCGUAUAUUAAAGUUGUUGCAGUUAAAAAGCUCGUAGUUGAAUUUCGGGAUCAAAGGAUCGGUCAUGCCUUGGUAUGUACUGGUUUUAUUGGUUCUCACCUUCUAAAGAACCAUAAUGUCAUUCAUUUGAUGUUAUGGGGAAUUAGGACUGUUACCUUGAAAAAAUUAGAGUGUUUAAGGCAGGCUUACGCUUGAAUACAUUAGCAUGGAAUAAUGAAAUAGGACAUCAGAUUCUAUUUUGUUGGUUUCUAGGAUCGAUGUAAUGAUUAAUAGGGAUAGUUGGGGGCAUUAGUAUUCAAUUGUCAGAGGUGAAAUUCUUGGAUUUAUUGAAGACUAACUACUGCGAAAGCAUUUGCCAAGGAUGUUUUCAUUAAUCAAGAACGAAAGUUAGGGGAUCGAAGACGAUCAGAUACCGUCGUAGUCUUAACCAUAAACUAUGCCGACUAGGGAUCGGAUGAUGUUAAUUUUUUAAUGACUCA